GACGAGGAUGGAAACCGAUGUUUAGGCAGCGGCUCCCCUUCGUUGUCCUGCAUGGUUUGCGCGCCCUGAUUCGUUACCGCUCUGCAAACCAGAAAGAACAGCCCUACUGAUUUGUUAUUCCCCUCACUUACCGGUUAAGUUCCAGGAUAAUGGUGAAUGUCAUGAAUUGUAGGACUGGGUGUGAGCUAAUAUACUGAAACUAGAAGAGCGGAUCAGUCUGAGAAGAGGCAAUCAACCUGUUAUGGUGGGCUUGUACUUCGUAAAGGGACAGAUGAACAGUUUGCGAGUACUUCUGAACCUGUCUUUGCUCCUGCAUAAACAAGUGACGGUUGUGAAAAGGAGUGCUUUUGCCCAGCUUCAGUUGGUGUAGCACCUUUGGCCUUCUCAGGAGGAUGGUGUUGCUAAUUACCCAUGCCCUGAUCACAUCCAGAUUGGACUACUGUGAUGUUCUGUAUUUGGGGAUGCCCCUAAGAAGUGUCUGGAAUGGCUACAGAAUGCAGCAAAAUUAUGAACAGGAGCUCAGGUCUUUGACCACAUUAUGCCAGUGCUUUAGCAACUGUACUGAUUUCCAAAUUGCUUCCAGACUCAACUUAAGAUGCUGAUUCUUAACCUUAAGGCCAUAUAUGGUUUAGGAACAGGACAUAUGAAGGACUGUCUCCUCUAUGAAGCUGCCUACAGGCUCUGGUCAGCAGGGGACGAUGCCCUGUUGCACGUACCUUUCCCCAGCAACGUGUGGGAUCUGUGCCUGGGUUUUUUCAUAGACCAGUGCCCAGGUUUUGGAACUUGCUAAUGGAAUUAAUUUGUCCACUCACUGAGGAUUUUCAAAAGACAUGUGAAGUUUUGUUUGAACAUACUUCUUAUGGAAUCAUUCUGAUCUUGCUGCUGCUGCUGCUGGUUAUUUGUAUGCUAUUGCUGUUGUAUUUGUUGUUUUUUAAUAAUUGUUAAAAUUGCUCCCCCCCCCACUUUCCCCCCUGUGAACUGUUCUGGAGGCCUGAUUUCAGGUGAAUAGAUACAUUUAGAUAUACUUAUAGAUACACUUAUCCAUGUUUAGCCCUAGACAAUUUGAAUCUUGCUUGAUGUGGAUUCCCUGCUAGAACCUUGUAUAAAAUGCCACACAUAGGAUGUCCUCUCAAACAAAAGACCCUAGAAACUAGAUAUCCUACAAUCCAUACAUUUCAUUACUCUCUCUUGUCAGUUGUUAGGUCAUCUAAAACCCCUAUAGCUAGCAUGGAAACAAUAAAAGCAAGACUGGUUUGCUAAUGCUUAGAGACUCUGUUCUGCACUACUCAUUUGAUGCAUGCCAUCUAGCAUUCAGAUUUGAACCCUGGCUCUAUGAUCUCUUUAUUUUCUUCCCUAAACUGUUAACUGACUUCCAAGCUCAGUUCUGUCCUGUCUUUAAAAAAAAUAAAAAUUGAUCCCAUGUUUUCUGCAAAUUUCAUCUAGACUAGCCUGCUUUCUACUGAUGCUGCUGCUUCAAGUUCAGAUUUGUUCAUAAAUUAACCCAGCUGUGAACAAGGACCAUUUUCCAUUUCAAAACAUUCCUCACCCUCAUCUCUGAAUUUCUUUUUAACAACCUCUUAAACUUCUGUAACGCAGCCAGACUUGAUUUUCAUUUAAACAGUAACCUUGCUACUAUAAAUACAUGGAGUAUAGAUAAAUACAGGCAGUAUGUACAAACAGCAAAGAAGCUGAAGCAAAUGACAAAUAUAAGACAAACAGAACUCAGAGCAUUCACUACCAUGCUUAAGAUGAUUUGCCAGCAAUUUAAUUAAAAAUAAACUGGAUCCAACGGAUAAAAAAUAUUUUUCACAAAUGCAUGUAGGGGUUGAACAAAAUUAUGAAAACUUUAAUUCUUUUUAAAGAAUAUAUUGUAUCAAAAUCCUAAACUUGGCAGGAGGGCAUUGUGACAAAUAUUUAGCAUGUAAACAUAAAAAGCUGGAAAGCCAAAGCAAUAAAUUCAUCAGUUUUAGGACACAGAAACCAACAUAUUGUAAACCAAGUACUUUUUUAAACAUUCACAGUCUCUUUAUAAUAGCAGUCACAGGAUGCAAUGAACAGUUUUAAAAAGGUGUAUAAUUUUGCAGAAUAAAAUUGAUAAAUUUCUUACAAUAAACAUUGUUACAGUCUUGCACAGUU